rnacentral:rRNA from 1 species
AGUGAACGCUGGCGGUAGGCCUAACACAUGCAAGUCGAACGGCAGCACAGUAAGAGCUUGCUCUUACGGGUGGCGAGUGGCGGACGGGUGAGGAAUACAUCGGAAUCUACUUUUUCGUGGGGGAUAACGUAGGUAAACUUACGCUAAUACCGCAUACGACCUACGGUUGAAAGCAGGGGAUCUUCGGACCUUUCGCGAUUGAAUGAGCCGAUGUCGGAUUAGCUAGUUGGCGGGGUAAAGGCCCACCAAGGCGACGAUCCGUAGCUGGUCUGAGAGGAUGAUCAGCCACACUGGAACUGAGACACGGUCCAGACUCCUACGGGAGGCAGCAGUGGGGAAUAUUGGACAAUGGGCGCAAGCCUGAUCCAGCCAUACCGCGUGGGUGAAGAAGGCCUUCGGGUUGUAAAGCCCUUUUGUUGGGAAAGAAAAGCAGCAGGUUAAUACCCCGCUGUUCUGACGGUACCCAAAGAAUAAGCACCGGCUAACUUCGUG